CCUACGGGAGGCAGCAGUGGGGAAUCUUGGACAAUGGGGGCAACCCUGAUCCAGCGAUGCCGCGUGUGUGAAGAAGGCCUGCGGGUUGUAAAGCACUUUCAGUAGAGAAGAAGGUUCGUCGUUUAAGAGAUAGCAGACUUGACGUUAUCUACAGAAGAAGCACCGGCUAACUCUGUGCCAGCAGCCGCGGUAAUACAGAGGGUGCGAGCGUUAAUCGGACUUACUGGGCGUAAAGGGCGCGUAGGCGGCUUAUUAAGUUGGGUGUGAAAUCUCCGGGCUUAACCUGGAGUGGUCAUUCAAUACUGGUCGGCUUGAGUGCAGGAGAGGGAAGUGGAAUUUCCGGUGUAGCGGUGAAAUGCGUGGAUAUCGGAAGGAACACCAAUGGCGAAGGCAUCUUCCUGGCCUGACACUGACGCUGAUGCGCGAAAGCGUGGGGAGCAAACAGGAUUAGAGACCCUGGUAGUCCACGCUGUAAACGAUGAGUACUAGCUGUUGGGGCUUCGGCUCUAGUGGCGCAGCUAACGCAUUAAGUACUCCCGCCUGGGGACUACGGCCGCAAGGCUAAAACUCAAAGGAAUUGACGGGGGA
rnacentral:rRNA from 1 species